rnacentral:piRNA from 1 species
UAGCAAUUUCGAACACGUACU